GACAUGACUUACCAACUGAACAACAACAGGAAAGUUGAAGAAAGUGAGCUCCCUGGAAUAAAUAAUUUGAAGCCAGAUGGGCCCCCAGUGUUCCACAGGAAGACCCCAAGGACACCCCAUCCAUGGAGUCCAUGGGGACCACCCUGGUGACAGGGGUAGCUACAUCACUGGGGAGUUCAGUGCUGGCUCCUCUGAAGGCUGGCAUGACGCUUUAGAACACAGAAACAGGAGGGACACACCCAACAGCUGAGGAAGCAGGAAACAUCUACUCUAAAACUGAAGAACAAAAACAUGAAAACUGAGAGCAUCUUUUGUAUAUUUUUGUGUAGUUUGUUCCCACUAAACUUUCCUGAAAACAUUCACACU
ensembl:lncRNA